AUUUUUAUAAGAGGAAAUUGAUGUGCAACUCAUCAGCUGUGCCGCAACCGUAAAAGCCGGAACACUCAGAAAAACUUAUUUGCUGCGAGCAUCAGCAUUAAGAAAUAAUU
rnacentral:ncRNA from 17 species